rnacentral:rRNA from 1 species
CGGACGGGUGAGUAACGCGUGGGUAACCUGCCUCAUACAGGGGGAUAACAGUUAGAAAUGACUGCUAAUACCGCAUAAGCGCACAGGAUUGCAUGAUCCGGUGUGAAAAACUCCGGUGGUAUGAGAUGGACCCGCGUCUGAUUAGCUAGUUGGUGGGGUAACGGCCCACCAAGGCGACGAUCAGUAGCCGACCUGAGAGGGUGACCGGCCACAUUGGGACUGAGACACGGCCCAAACUCCUACGGGAGGCAGCAG